rnacentral:rRNA from 1 species
UACAGGGGGUGCAAACGUUGCUCGGAAUCAUUGGGCGUAAAGCGCACGUAGGCGGUUCGUUAUGUCGGAUGUGAAAGCCCUUGGCUUAACCGAGGAAGUGCAUCCGAAACUGGCGAGCUAGAGUACUAAAGAGGAUCGCGGAAUUCCCGGUGUAGAGGUGAAAUUCGUAGAUAUCGGGAGGAACACCGGUGGCGAAGGCGGGUCUCUGGGCCGUAACUGACGCUGAGGAGCGAAAGCGUGGGGAGCGAACAGG